rnacentral:rRNA from 1 species
UACGUAGGUGGCAAGCGUUGUCCGGAUUUAUUGGGCGUAAAGCGCGCGCAGGUGGUGCGGUAAGUCUGCCGUGAAAUCUCCCGGCUCAACUGGGAGGGGGCGGUGGAGACUGCCGGACUGGAGGGACUCAGAGGCCGGUGGAAUUCCCGGUGUAGUGGUGAAAUGCGCAGAUAUCGGGAGGAACACCGGUGGCGAAGGCGGUUCUCUGGGCCUUACCUGACGCUGAGGAGCGAAAGCGUGGGGAGCGAACAGG